AUUGAACGCUGGCGGCAUGCCUUACACAUGCAAGUCGAACGGUAACAGGUUAAGCUGACGAGUGGCGAACGGGUGAGUAAUACAUCGGAACGUGCCCAGACGUGGGGGAUAACGUAGCGAAAGCUACGCUAAUACCGCAUACGAACUGAGGUUGAAAGCGGGGGACCGUAAGGCCUCGCGCGUAUGGAGCGGCCGAUGGCAGAUUAGGUAGUUGGUGGGGUAAAGGCUUACCAAGCCUGCGAUCUGUAGCUGGUCUGAGAGGACGACCAGCCACACUGGGACUGAGACACGGCCCAGACUCCUACGGGAGGCAGCAGUGGGGAAUUUUGGACAAUGGGCGCAAGCCUGAUCCAGCAAUGCCGCGUGCAGGAUGAAGGCCUUCGGGUUGUAAACUGCUUUUGUACGGAGCGAAACGGCUUCCACUAAUACUGGGGGCUAAUGACGGUACCGUAAGAAUAGGCACCGGCUAACUACGUGCCAGCCGCCGCGGUAAGAC
rnacentral:rRNA from 1 species